rnacentral:rRNA from 1 species
ACUCCUACGGGAGGCAGCAGUGGGGAAUAUUGCACAAUGGGCGCAAGCCUGAUGCAGCCAUGCCGCGUGUGUGAAGAAGGCCUUCGGGUUGUAAAGCACUUUCAGUCGUGAGGAAGGUAGUGUAGUUAAUAGCUGCAUUAUUUGACGUUAGCGACAGAAGAAGCACCGGCUAACUCCGUGCCAGCAGCCGCGGUAAUACGGAGGGUGCGAGCGUUAAUCGGAAUUACGUGGGCGUAAAGCGCAUGCAGGUGGUUGUUAAGUCAGAUGUGAAAGCCCGGGGCUCAACCUCGGAAUAGCAUUUGAAACUGGCAGACUAGAGUACUGUAGAGGGGGUAGAAUUUCAGGUGUAGCGGUGAAAUGCGUAGAGAUCUGAAGGAAUACCGGUGGCGAAGGCGGCCCCUGGACAGAUACUGACACUCAGAUGCGAAAGCGUGGGAGCAAACAGGAUUAGAUACCCCUGGUAGACUGUCA